GAUGAACGCUGGCGGCGUGCCUAAUACAUGCAAGUCGAGCGAACAGACGAGGAGCUUGCUCCUCUGACGUUAGCGGCGGACGGGUGAGUAACACGUGGAUAACCUACCUAUAAUACUGGGAUAACUUCGGGAAACCGGAUCUAAUACCGGAUAAUAUAUUGAACCGCAUGGUUCAAUAGUGAAAGACGGUUUUGCUGUCACUUAUAGAUGGAUCCGCGCCGCAUUAGCUAGUUGGUAAGGUAACGGCUUACCAAGGCAACGAUGCGUAGCCGACCUGAGAGGGUGAUCGGCCACACUGGAACUGAGACACGGUCCAGACUCCUACGGGAGGCAGCAGUAGGGAAUCUUCCGCAAUGGGCGAAAGCCUGACGGAGUAACGCCGCGUGAGUGAUGAAGGUCUUCGGAUCGUAAAACUCUGUUAUUAGGGAAGAACAAAUGUGUAAGUAACUAUGCACGUCUUGACGGUACCUAAUCAGAAAGCCACGGCUAACUACGUG
rnacentral:rRNA from 1 species